GAUGAACGCUGGCGGCGUGCCUAACACAUGCAAGUCGAACGGACAUUUUUUGGAAAGUUCUUCGGAACUGGAAUCUAAAUGUUAGUGGCGGACGGGUGAGUAACGCGUGAGCAAUCUGCCUUUCAGAGGGGGAUAACAGCCGGAAACGGCUGCUAAUACCGCAUAAUGCAUUGGAUUCGCAUGUUUCUGAUGCCAAAGAUUUUAUCGCUGAAAGAUGAGCUCGCGUCUGAUUAGCUAGUUGGCGGGGUAACGGCCCACCAAGGCGACGAUCAGUAGCCGGACUGAGAGGUUGAACGGCCACAUUGGGACUGAGACACGGCCCAGACUCCUACGGGAGGCAGCAGUGGGGAAUAUUGCGCAAUGGGGGCAACCCUGACGCAGCAACGCCGCGUGAUUGAUGAAGGUCUUCGGAUUGUAAAAAUCUUUAAUCAGGGACGAAGAAAAUGACGGUACCUGAAGAGUAAGCUCCGGCUAACUACGUGCCAGCAGCCGCGGUAAUACGUAGGGAGCAAGCGUUAUCCGGAUUUACUGGGUGUAAAGGGCGUGUAGGCGGGCUUGCAAGUUGGAAGUGAAAUCUCGGGGCUUAACCCCGAAACUGCUUUCAAAACUGCGAGUCUUGAGUGAUGGAGAGGCAGGCGGAAUUCCCAGUGUAGCGGUGAAAUGCGUAGAUAUUGGGAGGAACACCAGUGGCGAAGGCGGCCUGCUGGACAUUAACUGACGCUGAGGCGCGAAAGCGUGGGGAGCAAACAGG
rnacentral:rRNA from 1 species